rnacentral:tmRNA from 2 species
GGGGAUGUAAUGGUCUCGACGGGGAUAUAUGUUCCAUGGACAGCGAGCCGGGGGGUCAUCAACCCGUCAGUAAGGUGAAAACUUUUAUUAAAUAUAAAAGCUAACGAAGAUUACGCUUUAGCCGCUUAAGGCUAACCCCUGUCCGUCUUUCUCCCGCGAAGAUGGAUAAGGGGCAAGCAGCGGGAUACUUGAGGGCCGUUUCCCGUAGGCCCGACUAGGAAACCUUUUCGGGAUCGGAAGGAUGUUGUUUGUUUGUGGACGGCAUCAUUCUAAAAGAAAAACACAAACUGCGCUCGGAGAACUCUGUGAAACAGUAUUUUCGGACAGGAGUUCGAUUCUCCUCAUCUCCACCA